UUUUUAUGUGGACCUCUGUCCUUGUGCCUUGUGUGCUUGGAUAGAACCACAUAAGCAGGUGAAACUUCUUAGAGGAACUGGCGCCCAAAAAGGCGCACGAGAAAGAGCAAUAACAGGUCUGUGAUGCCCUAAGAUGUCCGGGGCCGCACGCGUGCUACAAUGACGAUGCUACUGAGCAUGAUUAACUUGUCCGAAAGGACUGGUGAAACUGUUCAAUCAUCGUCGUGACUGGGAUUGGGGUUUGCAAUUGUCCCCCAUGAACCAGGAAUUCCUAGUAAGCACAAGUCAUAAGCUUGUGCUGAUUACGUCCCUGCCCUUUGUACACACCGCCCGUCGCUACUACCGAUUGAAUGGUUUAGCAAGGACAUUGGAUUGAGCUCUUGCGGUUUCGGCUACUUGAGUUUGAGAAGAUGUCCGAACUUGAUCAUUUAGAGGAAGUAAAAGUCGUAACAAGGUUUCCGUAGGUGAACCUGCGGAAGGAUCAUUA
rnacentral:rRNA from 1 species